CGAUGGGCUUUAUCGAAGACCGAUUUCUGUUUUUUUUAUACGUCAAUUGGUUCAAUAUAAAGCCCAAAGCAAUUUUUGAUACGACGGUCUCUGAUCUUGAGCAUUUCUCCAGCCGUUUCAGUAACUUUUACGUGCAAUUACAAAU